rnacentral:rRNA from 1 species
AUUGAAGGCUGGCGGCAGGCCUAACACAUGCAAGUCGAACGGUAACAGGAAGCAGCUUGCUGCUUCGCUGACGAGUGGCGGACGGGUGAGUAAUGUCUGGGAAGCUGCCUGAUGGAGGGGGAUAACUACUGGAAACGGUAGCUAAUACCGCAUAAUGUCGCAAGACCAAAGAGGGGGACCUUCGGGCCUCUUGCCAUCGGAUGUGCCCAGAUGGGAUUAGCUUGUUGGUGGGGUAACGGCUCACCAAGGCGACGAUCCCUAGCUGGUCUGAGAGGAUGACCAGCCACACUGGAACUGAGACACGGUCCAGACUCCUACGGGAGGCAGCAGUGGGGAAUAUUGCACAAUGGGCGCAAGCCUGAUGCAGCCAUGCCGCGUGUAUGAAGAAGGCCUUCGGGUUGUAAAGUACUUUCAGCGGGGAGGAAGGGAGUAAAGUUAAUACCUUUGCUCAUUGACGUUACCCGCAGAAGAAGCACCGGCUAACUCCGUG